GACGUAGGGAGCAAGCGUUGUCCGGAAUCACUGGGCGUAAAGCGCGCGUAGGUGGCCUUAUAAGUCCGCUGUGAAAGUCAAAGGCUCAACCUUUGAAAGCCGGUGGAUACUGUGAGGCUAGAGUACGGAAGAGGCGAGUGGAAUUCCUGGUGUAGCGGUGGAAUGCGCAGAUAUCAGGAGGAACACCAAUAGCGAAGGCAGCUCGCUGGAACGUUACUGACACUGAGGCGCGAAAGCCAGGGGAGCAAACGGG
rnacentral:rRNA from 1 species